rnacentral:lncRNA from 1 species
GGGUCUUUCAUAAGAAGCACAAGCCUGGCUUUCCUCAUCUUGGCAUCUCAGAUCCACCACGUGUAAAAUGGUAUCUUGAUUUCAUUCAUUAAUGUGGAGUUCUGGAACUGGGAAACAAAAACCUUCACCUGCCAUUUCCUUUCCCUUUGCAAUAUAACCAGAGCAAAAGAUAACACCUAAAAUUCACAGCAUCAUGGCUUUCCUGGUGGUGAGUCACCAUCAGGUGAAUCUAUUCCGUCAUCUCUGGAGGAGUCAGCAGGAUGGGAGAGCUGUGCUCAGCCAUUAGCUCAUUUCUUUUCUUUCUUUUCAGCCAUGUGCUGCCUUCAAUCUCUUGGCGCUGCAUAUGUCAGGAGCAGGAAAGAUGUCCACACCCAAAGAAUGCAAGAAUCACCGUGGAACUGUACUCAGUGAUGACCUCCAAUCCUCUCAAAGAGAAACUCCUCAAUUCCAGGAAAGAGUCCAUCAGGAAGUUGACAUGAACAACCCUUCUUCACCUGUGGGAAUGUCUGAAACCGUCUCUGGAUGUCUUCGGGUAAUUAAGAUUUGAGCUUGCUGCUCAAAUAAAAUCCUUUCACUGCUUUAAUUUUCUUUUUUC